AAAAAUGCCGAGCGAUUUCGAUAGAAAGUCUAAUGAUCCAGCAGUCACUUCGAUCGCAUCCGACUCUUUUUCUCACUUCUGGUUUAAUCCGGAGCGACUCUAUUGCCUUCAGCAUUUUGCAGCCACAUUUUUAUAUUCCAGACAACCAUGGAGCACCUUCUUUUAUGCAAUAUUAAGGCUGAAAGAUUUUUUUUCUGUGGUGGAUAUUGCAAAACAACUGGGUUUUGUUUGACAUUGCAUGAUAUUUUGCAGUGCUCGGGCAAUUGGCUGGUUAACAGUAGCAGCUCGGGCGGCCAAUCAGAGCGCAGCAGCAUUUCAGCUUUCUACUAUUAGAGGCACGGCUCAGGAAUCCUUCAACACAGAGCAGAGAGAGGGGGCUGAGCGCUCUCGGCAGCCAUUUUCCUGAAACAGGACUCAAUGGCCUAUAUGGGUUUCCUUUGUUCCAAAAGGGAUCUUAUACUUGAUUUCCUCAUCUCUCACGGACUAUGAUAAAACUAUGAUUCCUCCUUUAAAGGAUUGAGAAGAAGGAAGAAAAAAUACUGGAUGUAAUCCCUUUGACAUUUUGAACCUUUUUUCCUCUGCCUGGAAUCCAUCUUUGUCUUAACUAGGUCAUGGCACACCCAUAUAAUAGUAUUUCUGUUUCUGAAGUAAAAAAGAAACCAAAUGUUGUGAAUAAACAGCUUAUAGUUUUGGAGGUGUUAAUUAGAGAAAACAACACAGUGAAAUUAACAAAAUGUGUAAUGGCAUAUUGUUGGCAUUGCACUUUAUGGCCUUAUAGGAUAUGAUUAGCAAUGAGUAAGUUAACUUCUUUUAUAAUAAUUUAACAAUUUUGGUAAUUAAGCUAUGUAGAACUGAGGCAUGCAGUUACUGUUAUUAAAAGUGUUUUCUGUCAGUUUAUUAUCUAUUGAUCUAUCAUGAACUUGAUUAUAUAUUGGUAUCUGGCUGCCAACUCAUACAAUAUGUUCACUGGCAUGCUGGUCUAAGAAUAUCAAUGUAGCACUGCUCAGAUGACUGAGCAGGCCAUGGCAUGGGCUACUAAUGGCCCUUUGUAAAGUAGUUAGUGUUGCCUGAUUUUUUUUCUCUUGAUUGAUAACCCCUUUGUUAGGGUGAUACCUUAAACACUAUUGUUUUUCCUCCACAACAGCAAAGUAUAAUACCCUACAUUGUGAUAAUCUGUCCUUGGUGAAACGGCUCAAAUUGUACCUGUGUAACGUGAAAGUGUUGAGUAGCUUCAGUCACGUUUAGGUGUAGGCUCUCCAUUUGCCAUUUAAGAACCAAACGCUUCGCCUGACCUUCCUUCAAGGGCAUAUUUAAAUUUUGUGGACAACUCCAGCGUGGCAGUCUUUUCAGAGUGUCUACAACGGCUCAAAAACAGUCUAUCAACUCUUAGAGGAAACAGAUGGAGGGAAAACUCUGGUGAAAAUAUUUACCUCAGCACUUUGAUGAAAUGCAUUUAACAGGCCUAAACGCAGGGGCAGGAGGAAUGUUUUCAGCUCCAUCUUCGGAUCCUCUAAUAAGGGCAAUAACAAUAGGUGGGAAUGCAUCUCCUGAAAAGGAAGGAAUCCAUUAGCACGACAGAUAGUUCUUUUGAAAACUUUUGAUCAGUGGUAGGCUUUGCCUCUUAAGCAGCGAGUAUGCUGAACAUCUUCAAGCAUCAUCUGUGUGGGCAAUAUGCAAACAACCUCUUCUCUUUCCCUGAAGACAGGAAUGCAGUCAAAUGUAACGUCGUCUAUUUCGACAUGUCAAUGUGAGCGCACACAACAUGACAAACUACCAGGAGAGGUUGUUUUGAGAGGGAAUGGAUUUUGAGCUGUUUCACUAAAUUGGCCAGUUCCAGUGCCAUACCAUCCAUACUGAUUGAGUAUCUGUCUCCUGUUUUCAUCAGAUGGACUGUGCUGCAUGGAAACGGCAUCAAUGCGAUUUCCAUCGAGACAGAUUUAGCCAGGCAGUUCAAAAGAGGAAAUCUGUUUUUUUUUUCUUUCUAACUUUGUAUCUUCAUUCAUUUAGUCCAUUCUGUUUGUAGAAAUACCGAGUAAUUCAAAUCAGGCAUCUUUGGCAUUUUUGAUCAUUUGUGGGUUUUGUAAUCGCCUAUUCAAGGACUGGGCGUUUUUCAUGCAAGUACUCCAUGCUGUAUUCAUAUUAUUUAAAAUAACGACUUUUCAUUAUUUUUUGCUCUUAAAUAGGCUGUUUGCAUGGAUAUCUUAUUUCGCAAUGUAGAUUGUGUAAUCACUUCGUUUACUUGACUUUUACCCUUUGUCUGUGUUCCUGAGAUGUGUCAAUAAAAUAGACUGCAUUCAAAUAAA